rnacentral:rRNA from 1 species
GACGAACGCUUGCGGCGUGCUUAACACAUGCAAGUCGAACGGAAAGGCCCUGCUUUUGUGGGGUGCUCGAGUGGCGAACGGGUGAGUAACACGUGAGUAACCUGCCCUUGACUUUGGGAUAACUUCAGGAAACUGGGGCUAGUACCGGAUAGGAGCUCCUGCUGCAUGGUGGGGGUUGGAAAGUUUCGGCGGUUGGGGAUGGACUCGCGGCUUAUCAGCUUGUUGGUGGGGUAGUGGCUUACCAAGGCUUUGACGGGUAGCCGGCCUGAGAGGGUGACCGGCCACAUUGGGACUGAGAUACGGCCCAGACUCCUACGGGAGGCAGCAGUGGGGAAUAUUGCACAAUGGGCGGAAGCCUGAUGCAGCAACGCCGCGUGCGGGAUGACGGCCUUCGGGUUGUAAACCGCUUUCGCCUGUGACGAAGCGUGAGUGACGGUAAUGGGUAAAGAAGCACCGGCUAACUACGUGCCAGCAGCCGCGGUGAUACGUAAGGUGCGAGCGUUGUCCGGAUUUAUUGGGCGUAAGGGCUCGUAGGUGGUUGAUCGCGUCGGAAGUGUAAUCUUGGGGCUUAACCCUGAGCGUGCUUUCGAUACGGGUUGACUUGAGGAAGGUAGGGGAGAAUGGAAUUCCUGGUGGAGCGGUGGAAUGCGCAGAUAUCAGGAGGAACACCAGUGGCGAAGGCGGUUCUCUGGGCCUUUCCUGACGCUGAGGAGCGAAAGCGUGGGGAGCGAACAGGCUUAGAUACCCUGGUAGUCCACGCUGUAAACGGUGGGUACUAGGUGUGGGGUCCAUUCCACGGGUUCCGUGCCGUAGCUAACGCUUUAAGUACCUCGCCUGGGGAGUACGGCCGCAAGGCUAAAACUCAAAGGAAUUGACGGGGCCCCGCACAAGCGGCGGAGCAUGCGGAUUAAUUCGAUGCAACGCGUAGAACCUUACCUGGGUUUGACAUGGAUCGGGAGUGCUCAGAGAUGGGUGUGCCUCUUUUGGGGUCGGUUCACAGGUGGUGCAUGGCUGUCGUCAGCUCGUGUCGUGAGAUGUUGGGUUAAGUCCCGCAACGAGCGCAACCCUUGUUCACUGUUGCCAGCACGUUAUGGUGGGGACUCAGUGGAGACCGCCGGGGUCAACUCGGAGGAAGGUGGGGAUGACGUCAAGCCAUCAUGCCCCUUAUGUCCAGGGCUUCACGCAUGCUACAAUGGCUGGUACAGAGAGUGGCGAGCCUGUGAGGGUGAGCGAAUCUCGGAAAGCCGGUCUCAGUUCGGAUUGGGGUCUGCAACUCGACCUCAUGAAGUCGGAGUCGCUAGUAAUCGCAGAUCAGCAACGCUGCGGUGAAUACGUUCCCGGGGCU